rnacentral:tRNA from 1 species
GUGGUUCACGUCCAGGUGCGAAGGCUGCGACUACUUCUCCUGUCAAGAGAGAGACGCGGGUUCGAAUCCCGUCGCCG